rnacentral:rRNA from 1 species
ACGGAAGGCAGCAGUGGGGAAUAUUGCACAAUGGGCGAAAGCCUGAUGCAGCGACGCCGCGUGAGCGAAGAAGUAUUUCGGUAUGUAAGGCUCUAUCAGCAGGGAAGAUAAUGACGGUACCUGACUAAGAAGCACCGGCUAAAUACGUGCCAGCAGCCGCGGUAAUACGUAUGGUGCAAGCGUUAUCCGGAUUUACUGGGUGUAAAGGGAGCGUAGGCGGAAUUUUAAGUCUGAUGUGAAAGCCCAGGGCUCAACCCUGGUACUGCAUUGGAAACUGGAGUUCUAGAGUGUCGGAGGGGUAAGUGGAAUUCCUAGUGUAGCGGUGAAAUGCGUAGAUAUUAGGAGGAACACCAGUGGCGAAGGCGGCUUACUGGACGAUUACUGACGCUGAGGCUCGAAAGCGUGGGGAGCAAACAGGAUUAGAUACCCUGGUA